rnacentral:ncRNA from 1 species
UACCUGGUUGAUCCUGCCAGUAGUCAUAUGCUUGUCUCAAAGAUUAAGCCAUGCAAGUCUAAGUACGAGCUCUCGUACAGUGAAACUGCGAAUGGCUCAUUAAAUCAGUUAUGGUUCAUUUGAUCGUACAGUUUACUUGGAUAACUGUGGUAAUUCUAGAGCUAAUACAUGCGAGAAGCGCCGACCUCGCGGGAGGCGUGCAUUUAUCAGACCAAAAACCGGCCGCGUCUUCGGGCGCGUUCGCCUUGGUGACUCUGGAUAACUUUGCGGAUCGCACGGUCUAGCACCGGCGACGGAUCAUUCAAGUGUCUGCCCUAUCAACUUCGUCGGUACGGUAUUUGCCUACCGAGGUUCUUACGGGUGACGGGG